rnacentral:rRNA from 1 species
GUGUGAGAUGGGCCUGCGUCUGAUUAACUAGUUGGUGAGGUAACGGCUCACCAAGGUGACGAUCAGUAGCCGACCUGAGAGGGUGAUCGGCCACAUUGGAACUGAGACACGGUCCAAACUUCUACGGAAGGCAGCAGUAGGGAAUCUUGCACAAUGGGCGAAAGCCUGAUGCAGCAACGCCGCGUGAAGGAUGAAGGCCUUCGGGUUGUAAACUUCUGUUCCCGGGGACGAAGAAAGUGACGGUACCCGGGCAGCAAGCCCCGGCUAACUACGUGCCAGCAGCCGCGGUAAUACGUAGGGGGCAAGCGUUAUCCGGAAUUAUUGGGCGUAAAGAGUGCGUAGGUGGUUGUGUAAGCGUGAGGUUUAAGGCAGUGGCUUAACCACUGUUCGCCUUGCGAACUGCAUAACUUGAGUGCAGGAGGGGAAAGCGGAAUUCCUAGUGUAGCGGUGAAAUGCGUAGAUAUUAGGAGGAACACCAGCGGCGAAGGCGGCUUUCUGGACUGCAACUGACACUGAGGCACGAAAGCGUGGGGAGCAAACAGGAUUAGAUACCCUGGUAGUCCACGCCGUAAACGAUGAGCACUAGUUGUUGGGUCCGAACGGAUUCAGUGACGCAGUUAACGCAAUAAGUGCUCCGCCUGGGGAGUACGCUCGCAAGAGUAAAACUCAAAGGAAUUGACGGGGACCCGCACAAGCAGCGGAGCAUGUGGUUUAAUUCGAAGCAACGCGAAAAACCUUACCAGGACUUGACAUCCUGCUGACAGGUCCUUAACCGGGCCCUUCUUCGGACAGCAGAGACAGGUGGUGCAUGGUUGUCGUCAGCUCGUGUCGUGAGAUGUUGGGUUAAGUCCCGCAACGAGCGCAACCCUUAUUGUCAGUUACUAACAUUAAGUUGAGGACUCUGGCGAGACUGCCGAGGUUAACUCGGAGGAAGGUGGGGAUGACGUCAAAUCAUCAUGCCCCUUAUGUUCUGGGCUACACACGUGCUACAAUGGCCGGUACAGAGAGACGCAAAACCGCGAGGCGGAGCAAAUCACUAAAACCGGUCCCAGUUCGGACUG